GACGUAGGGGGCCAGCGUUGCUCGGAAUUACUGGGCGUAAAGGGUCCGUAGGCGGUGUGGCAAGUCGGGAGUGAAAUCUCUGGGCUUAACCCAGAGGCUGCUUCCGAAACUGCCAUGCUGGAGUGUGGGAGAGGCGAGUGGAAUUGCAGGUGUAGCGGUGAAAUGCGUAGAUAUCUGCAGGAACACCCGUGGCGAAGGCGGCUCGCUGGACCACAACUGACGCUGAGGGACGAAAGCUAGGGGAGCAAACAGG
rnacentral:rRNA from 1 species